UAGCGUUGGGGUUCCACCUCUUCCCAUUCCGAACAGAGAAGUUAAGCCCACCCACGCCGAUGGUACUGCGUAACAGUGGGAGAGUAGGUAGCCGCCGUUU
rnacentral:rRNA from 1 species